rnacentral:sRNA from 1 species
CGCCUAACCCCUACGGUUUUCCAUAGGGUAUGGCAUAAAAACCAACGACGGUAAAAAGCUCCUAGUCAGAGCACCGUCGUUGGUCAUGCCUCGAAAGGGGUGUGGGUCCCGCAAGGGAUC